GCGCGAGUGGCGAAAUGGCAGACGCGCUAGCCUCAGGAGCUAGUGCCCGCAAGGGCGUGGAAGUUCGAGUCUUCUCUCGCGCA
rnacentral:tRNA from 1 species